rnacentral:rRNA from 1 species
GCAGUCGAGCGCCUCCAAGCUAUGGUGAAGGCGCGGCAAACGGCUCAGUAACACGUGGCCAACCUACCCUUGGGACGGAGACAACCCCGGGAAACUGGGGCUAAUCCCCGAUAAGUAAGGAAUCCUGGAAUGGAUCUUUGCUGAAAGGGCGUCUAGACCAUGCUUCUUGACGUCGCCCAAGGAUGGAGCCGCGACCGGUCAGGUAGUUGGCGAGGCAACGGCUCACCAAGCCUAUAACCGGUACGGGCCGUGAGAGCGGGAGCCCGGAGAUGGGCACUGAGACAAGGGCCCAGGCCCUACGGGGCGCAGCAGUUGCGAAAACUCCGCAAUGCGCGAAAGCGUGACGGGGCUACCCCGAGUGCCGCCCGUUGAGGGCGGCUUUUCCAUGGUGUAAGGAGCCGUGGGAAUAAGGAGAGGGCAAGACUGGUGUCAGCCGCCGCGGUAAUACCAGCUCUCCGAGUGGUGGGGACGAUUAUUGGGCUUAAAGCGUUCGUAGCCGGCUUAACAAGUCUUCCGUUAAAUCCAACGAUCUAAUCGUUGGGCUGCGGGAGAUACUGUUGGGCUAGGAGGCGGGAGAAGCCGACGGUAUUCUCGGGGUAGGGGUGAAAUCCUGUAAUCCCGGGAGGACCACCAGUGGCGAAGGCGGUCGGCUAGAACGCGCUCGACGGUGAGGGACGAAAGCUGGGGGAGCGAACCGGAUUAGAAACCCGGGUAGUCCCAGCUGUAAACGAUGCGGGCUAGGUGUUG